rnacentral:rRNA from 1 species
AUUGAACGCUGGCGGCAGGCUUAACACAUGCAAGUCGAGCGGAGAUGAGGUGCUUGCACCUUAUCUUAGCGGCGGACGGGUGAGUAAUGCUUAGGAAUCUGCCUAUUAGUGGGGGACAACAUUCCGAAAGGAAUGCUAAUACCGCAUACGCCCUACGGGGGAAAGCAGGGGAUCUUCGGACCUUGCGCUAAUAGAUGAGUCUAAGUCGGAUUAGCUAGUUGGUGGGGUAAAGGCCUACCAAGGCGACGAUCUGUAGCGGGUCUGAGAGGAUGAUCCGCCACACUGGGACUGAGACACGGCCCAGACUCCUACGGGAGGCAGCAGUGGGGAAUAUUGGACAAUGGGCGGAAGCCUGAUCCAGCCAUGCCGCGUGUGUGAAGAAGGCCUUUUGGUUGUAAAGCACUUUAAGCGAGGAGGAGGCUACCUGGAUUAAUACCCUAGGAUAGUGGACGUUACUCGCAGAAUAAGCACCGGCUAACUCUGUGCCAGCAGCCGCCGUAAGAC